rnacentral:rRNA from 1 species
GUGCCAGCCGCCGCGGUAAUACGAAGGGUGCAAGCGUUAAUCGGAAUUACUGGGCGUAAAGCGUGCGUAGAUGGUUCGCUAAGUCGGAUGUGAAAGCCCCGGGCUCAACCUGGGAACUGCAUCCGAUACUGGCGGACUAGAGUGUGAUAGAGGAUGGCGGAAUUCCCGGUGUAGCGGUGAAAUGCGUAGAGAUCGGGAGGAACAUCCGUGGCGAAGGCGGCCAUCUGGAUCAACACUGACGUUGAGGCACGAAAGCGUGGGGAGCAAACAGGAUUAGAUACCCGAGUAGUCC